AUUGAACGCUGGCGGCAUGCCUUACACAUGCAAGUCGAACGGUAACGGGUCCUUCGGGAUGCCGACGAGUGGCGAACGGGUGAGUAAUAUAUCGGAACGUGCCCAGUAGUGGGGGAUAACUGCGCGAAAGAGCAGCCAAUACCGCAUACGACCUGAGGGUGAAAGGGGGGGAUCGCAAGACCUCUCGCUAUUGGAGCGGCCGAUAUCAGAUUAGCUAGUUGGUGGGGUAAAGGCCUACCAAGGCAACGAUCGGUAGUUGGUCUGAGAGGACGACCAGCCACACUGGGACUGGGACACGGCCCAGACUCCUACGGGAGGCAGCAGUGGGGAAUUUUGGACAAUGGGCGCAAGCCUGAUCCAGCAAUGCCGCGUGCAGGAAGAAGGCCUUCGGGUUGUAAACUGCUUUUGUCAGGGAAGAAAUCUUCUGGGCUAAUACCCCGGGAGGAUGACGGUACCUGAAGAAUAAGCACCGGCUAACUACGUGCCAGCCGCCGCAGUAA
rnacentral:rRNA from 1 species